rnacentral:lncRNA from 1 species
UUAUAGUUCGAUUUCUAUGGCACCUUGAAUACACUCAAAUCAAGUUCAGUUUGUGUAUUCAUUUUCUACUCAUCCACCCUUGGCCGUAGCUGCAUUAGUUGCAACAGUAAUAUUAAGAAAUCAUAUGAAAUCUUGGAAAUCCUAACAAAUCACGUAAUUAAAAUAAAAUUAUUUGUCAAGUAAUCCCUCGUAAUCGCUCUAUAAAAUAUAAUUACCUUGUACAACACUCUGGUCGGUUUGAAGCAAAUUAUGCAGUUUUUAAUGCAAUGUAGGUGCAAAGAAGAUACACUCUCGUAUGGGAGGAGAACAUAACUCGAGAUUAUAUUCACAUAAAUGUAAUUGCGAUUAGUGCAACAUUUUUGACGCACGCACUGUUCUGAAACAUUUCGAUCGGACUCCAAACCUAUGAUACUAGUUUCAGUUGUAUCUUGGUACUGAACAACGAUAAUCUUUCGGGGCGUAGAGAAUUUGUACAUUAUUAUCUUCCAGUUUAUGUAAAAAAACUAGAUUAAAGCUCUUAUAUUCGGCAAAGGUCAAUUAAAUGUGCCAUAAUCGGACAGAUACGCUUGACACACUUUUUCUUAAUCGAAACUACACGCUUGCGCUUAGAUAUUUAUCAUCACUUAUCACGUCAAUUGAAGUUCAACUUUAAAAGUUCAAAUUACACAGUUUGAAGAAUAGACCUACCCAUAUUACCCUGUAUAACGUUGUAUACAUUACAGCUAAUUUUUACAUCUACCAUGUUCGUUACCUGUUUUAAUAACGGCGACUUUAAUCGGGAAGAAUUGCAAAUUUUUCGGUGCGCAUUGAACUCAUAAUCGUGUUUUAAUAGAAUGCACUGCUGAACUAAGAAGAUCUGAGAAAACCAUGCUCAAAAAAUGUGAAUGCUAUCUAGUCAAGUAGAGGGGUUAUCAGUGUAGAUGAACGUCUGUACGAGAAGCUGUCUGUAUAAUUUGUGAUGCCUGACCUGGAUUCGUUUCCCUUCUUUGGUAUGACGGUCAAUGCUGCAGGAACGUACACAACGGCAGCUACUAAUGCCAAGGAAAAGUUGUGCAUUGAAAUGCAUAAAAGCAUCGUUGCCAAUUCUAUUAAUGCUAUCACAUAAAAUUGCUCAGAUUACCUUUCAAAACAGAGAGUCCCAAUAAACAUCACGAUUGUGAGAAGUAAGAGGCCUAGGGAUACUGAAUUUUCGGUCGCUAGAUGAAAUUUUAUGCCUAUAUAGGUAAACAAUCGUGGGGCAGACAAUGUCGCUACCCCCAAUAUGUGAGUCCAAAGUACCUCCCAAGCGAUGUGUGACAGUACAAGUUCCUCUGACUAAAUUAAAUUAUAAAAAUUAAUGACAACUUCGCGAAUUUUGAGGACAGAAAAGGGUGGUGGAGAAAGUUGAUAAAAUUCACCUUGGCUUGUUUAACUGCAUCACUUUCACCAUCUUUUUUUUCAGUAGAUUCUUGUAACUUAAGCCACACAGAAAAUGCUUUUAUGAAAAGCCCAGCAAUAAUUAGAGCUAAUGGUGGCAUAUAUAAUCCUGAGAGGAAAAGUAGAACAAUAUAGUCUACACAAAUUACACACUUUCAGUUAAAAUUUCCGUAUUUGGCCAAAUUCGGCAGGAUUGGUCCGACCACUGUGACCAAAAAUAAAUUUUUGUGUUAUUAACUUACCAAUAGAAAUAUACCUAUCUGUCGACGGUAACAGAUAAAAAAAGAAUGAUUGAUGGAAUCGUUCUAAUAAAUUAUUGAGCGAACGAAUAAGACUUUCAACAACCCGUCCUAUGUUGUAAAUAGUGGAUUCCGUCCCAGACCCGGAUUUGGCAAAACCUUCCAAUGUAAUGGCUUCAAUACCAAACCUUGAACAGAAAAAUAAUGGUUAAUUUUUUUCUUGUAAAACAAAUUAAAAUCAACUUGAGAAAAUAUUUGAUAUUUUCAUUUUUCAUGAUUCUUAACUUACUGACUUAAUUGAAUGACUUGACUUUCAAUACAAAAAAAAAUGAUUGCAGCAACAGAAUUAUAAUACUUGUAAUUAAACAUGUGCAACACGAGUAGGCAUGUGUCACAAAAAUUGACCAUGAGGUAUAACAUCAUAAGGAGCACUUUAGAUGCUUUUCGGAUCCAAAUUAAGGGUUACUGAACAAUUCUUUGAAUAAGAUGUGUUCAUACCCCAACAAUUUGUUUCUCGUUUCUUUACCAUUUUCUACAAACUUGAUAUUGACAACUCAAAAAACUGAGAACUCUUCGAAGUUUUUGGCUGUAUCUGUUGAACGUGUAGUCGGAUCAAAUUGGGAUUGAUCGCCAUAGCUUUAUUUUGCAAAACAACAUUGAUGUAGCAUGUGAAAUAAUUGAUUUCAGAACUUUUUUGGUAAAUAUUUUGGCAAAAAUCAAAAAGGAGAGCUAAGAGCACAACCUUCUCACAAGAAAGUUUGGUCUCGAAACAAGUCGAGCACCGUUAUUUUUAAUAUUAGACCUAAUUAUGCUAUUAUUCAUCAUCAAACUCUCUGAGGUGGCUCUGCUAAUAUUAUCCACAUUCCAAACAAUACCUGUGAAAAACACCGUGAUUUCCAGUUGGCACACCAGUUGCUUGCGUAGACACCAUCGACAUCAUGGUAACAAAUUGGUACCACCAUUUUCGUAUUUUGUCUUUUGGAUUACUGUCUGCUCUGCGUUGAAAUGUUCUCCGGAUCCCUUCUUUGGCACACAUUUUGUUUGCCAGAUUAACAAGAUCUAAAUUUGGAAGUUGUCCAUUUAAACCUUCCACCUGUACAAAAAAAUUGAUUGUGUAUUUUUGCAUAAUCGAACUGGCUAAGUAGUAGUAAGUGGUUAAUGAACUCCCCAGACACAGGGGUUCAGCUCCAAUCACCUUGAUGUCAAUGGAUCCAAUUUUGAAGGAGUGCAUUUCCAGAUUUAUGGCAGCUUGAAUAGACCCAGCUCUUCCUACCAAGUCGCCUGCAAUCAAUACCCCAUCCUGCCCACACGUACAGCGAUGAUACGCCUCCAGCCAAGCUUGCAUUCCUAACUGCUCGUGCU